CCUACGGGUGACAGCAGUGAGGAAUAUUGGUCAAUGGACGAGAGUCUGAACCAGCCAAGUAGCGUGAAGGAUGACUGCCCUAUGGGUUGUAAACUUCUUUUAUAUGGGAAUAAAAUGUUCCACGUGUGGGAUUUUGUAUGUACCAUAUGAAUAAGGAUCGGCUAACUCCGUGCCAGCAGCCGCGGUAAUACGGAGGAUCCGAGCGUUAUCCGGAUUUAUUGGGUUUAAAGGGAGCGUAGGUGGAUUGUUAAGUCAGUUGUGAAAGUUUGCGGCUCAACCGUAAAAUUGCAGUUGAAACUGGCAGUCUUGAGUACAGUAGAGGUGUGCGGAAUUCGUGGUGUAGCGGUGAAAUGCUUAGAUAUCACGAAGAACUCCGAUUGCGAAGGCAGUUCACUGGACUGCAACUGACACUGAGGCUCGAAAGUGUGGGUAUCAAACAGGAUUAGAUACCCGUGUAGUC
rnacentral:rRNA from 1 species